rnacentral:rRNA from 1 species
GGCUAACACAUGCCAGUCGAGGGGUAACAGGGAAGCUUGCUUCCGCUGACGACCGGCGCACGGGUGCGUAACGCGUAUACAAUCUACCUUAAACUGGAGGACAGGCCGAAGAAAUUCGGAUUAAUACUCCAUAAUAUCUAGUAAUGGCAUGUUUUUGUUAUUAAAGCUUCGGCGGUAAAAGAUGAGCAUGCGUCCCAUUAGUUAGUUGGUGAGGUAAUGGCUCACCAAGACUACGAUGGGGAGGGGGCCUGAGAGGGUUAUCCCCCACACUGGUACUGAGACACGGACCAGACUCCUACGGGAGGCAGCAGUGAGGAAUAUUGGUCAAUGGACGAAAGUCUGAACCAGCCAUGCCGCGUGCAGGAUGACUGCCCUAUGGGUUGUAAACUGCUUUUGUAAGGGAAUAAACCCUCGUUCGUGAACGAGGCUGAAGGUACCUUACGAAUAAGGAUCGGCUAACUCCGUGCCAGCAGCCGCGGUAAUACGGAGGAUCCAAGCGUUAUCCGGAUUCAUUGGGUUUAAAGGGUCCGUAGGCGGAAUAUUAAGUCAGUGGUGAAAUCCUAUAGCUCAACUAUAGAACUGCCAUUGAUACUGAUAUUCUUGAGUCUAGAUGAAGUGGGCGGAAUACAACAUGUAGCGGUGAAAUGCAUAGAGAUGUUGUAGAACACCAAUUGCGAAGGCAGCUCACUAACCUAGUACUGACGCUGAUGCACGAAAGCGUGGGGAGCGAACAGGAUUAGAUACCCUGGUAGUCCACGCCGUAAACGAUGAUUACUCGGUGUUGGCGAUAUAAUGUCAGUACCCAAGCGAAAGUGAUAAGUAAUCCACCUGGGGAGUACGAUCGCAAGGUUGAAACUCAAAGGAAUUGACGGGGGCCCGCACAAGCGGUGGAGCAUGUGGUUUAAUUCGAUCAUACGCGAGGAACCUUACCUGGGCUUAAAUGUAGAUUGACAGAUUGGGAAACCAGUCCUUCUUCGGACAAUUUACAAGGUGCUGCAUGGUUGUCGUCAGCUCGUGCCGUGAGGUGUCGGGUUAAGUCCCAUAACGAGCGCAACCCCUAUUCUUAGUUGCCAGCGGUUCGGCCGGGGACUCUAAGAAAACUGCCCGCGCAAGCGGUGAGGAAGGUGGGGAUGACGUCAAAUCAUCACGGCCCUUACGUCCAGGGCCACACACGUGCUACAAUGGUAUUGACAGAGGGCAGCUACAUCGCGAGAUGAUGCUAAUCCCUAAACAAUAUCUCAGUUCGGAUCGCAGUCUGCAACUCGACUGCGUGAAGCUGGAAUCGCUAGUAAUCGCGUAUCAGCAAUGACGCGGUGAAUACUUCCCGGGCCUUGUACACACCUCCCGUCAAGCCAUGGAAGCUGGGAGUGCCUGAAGUCGGUGACCGAAAGGAGCUGCCUAGGGUAAACCAGUAACUGGGGCUAA